AAAACCAAAGAUGCAGGAGACAAAAGUUAUUCCUAACAGGAUAAGGUUCAGGUGGGAUAUCAAGGAAGUGGACUCAAGAACACGGGUGGAGGGAUUUGCUUAGGCAGCAGGUGGAGCACUUAUUUAGGCAGAAAGAAUGAAUGGGAUUGAUAAAGAGAAAAUCUGCGGGGAGUAUAAGGAAAGAAGUUGGUGGAACUGAGGUCCAAAGACCUUCAAUGACUUCCAAAAACCAAGAAGCAAACUCUUAAAUGUAUAAACUCAUUUUAAAAACAUGUUAACAUUUCUUUGUGAGCAUACAGAGGGUCUGUGUGUACGUUAUGAGGGAUCCAGAGACUAUAAAAGACCCCAAACUAUCUAAACACAUGUGCAUGUGCUGUCAUAUAUAUACACAUAGAUACACCCAUACAUAUGCAUGCAUGUAUACACAGAGCAAAAAUGCAAGCCCAUUCCAAAACUAGAUAUCAUCAUUUAUUACACUGUUCACAGUAGCAACUUAAGACUUUUUCCCAAUUUCUCCUUUUCCCUGCAGAGGCUCUUUCUAUGAAACUAGUGCCCAUCACAAACAGGAUGGAACUGAGCACCCACCACACGCCCAGAACACAUGUAAGUGCACAAGCAGAAGUGCCUGUCUACCGAAGCAGGACACAUCAGCAUAGGGCCAGGAAUGAUCUUUUUAGAUAAAAUUAAUUGUAGAAGCAGAGAAAAAGAAUCUAAAAAGACAACAUUUAAAAAAGGAGGUGAGAAACAAGUUUAUUUCCCAAAAUGCAAGAACUGGUGCACCUUUUUAUCUGAUUAUGUAAAAAGAGAAGACUGUGUGAGCAAGGCAAGAAGGGUUCACUGGGGAUACUGCUUUAGAAUUCUACCUUAAAAAAAAAUUGAGGCAUUCAUUCUUUUAUAUUAAGAAGAAACUGGAGAGGAUUUUAAGGGAAUAUAUAAGAAUACCAAAAACUCCUUUAAGAAAAAGAAAAAGUUCAAUAAGGAGGAAAUACAGUUGUAACGUGGGUGGGCAUAGAAAAUUAUUUAGGGAAGAGACAAUCAAACGUGUGAGCAAAAACGUAACCAGAACUCACAGAGCUAUUUUGAGAGUGAAAACCAAGUGAAAAAUGUCAAGUAUAGGAUUAUUCUUAUUUGACAUUUUUAUACAGCACCAACUUAUAAAAACAUCAAACAUGGCAUAAUCCUUUCUCUAGCAUUUUAACACGUCAUUAUAGUCUUAACAAGGACAAAUGGCUAUAGCCAUUCAUGUACUUUUUAAUAGAUUACUUUUAUCAUAAAAAUGUCAUUUUAGGAUAAUCUGCAUUCUUACAUUUUUAUGUUCAGCUGUGGUCUUUAAAUGUCAAGUAUAGGAGAUAUCUAGGUCUCCAAUUCUUAGAGUCUUUACUACAGAUCUUGUGAAUAUCAGCAUAAAAACAAGCCUUAAUCUGAUACGGCUGCUGUACUCAAUUCACCCUUUCUAUAAUUUUUCUCCUUUUAAAAAUAAUUACAAAGUACAUGUAUUAGGUAAAGAUGCGAUUGUGGGUUAAAGCCGUAAUAGGCAGGAAAUUUGUAAUGAAGCCCACUUUGAUCCACAUGAAAGUUAUCACAUGUUCAGCCACCCAGGGUCACAUUCCCACAGGCACUACUGUAUAGGAGACAGUUGACCUGCCUGCUCAAUUAGCAAUGAUAGCAACAAUGUAUCAUUUCACUUCAGGAGCUCACAUGUGCCAAAUGUCCAACCAGAGUUCUUGGACUGUUCCUCUUAAAAGUGGAGAAACAAAGCAAACAUCAAAGAUCCGGCAACUGAACCACAGAAUGGGAAUUAGAACUCCAAUGAGUCAAUAGUCUAGGGCAGAUAACGGCAAACUUUUUCUGUAAAGGGCCAAAUAGUCAAUGGUUUAGGCUAGAAGGCCACACAGUCUCUGUUACAACUGCUCAAGUCUGAUACUAUAAUGCCAACAGAGACCACACAGAAAUGAGUGGGCAUAGUUGCAUAGCAAUAAAACUUUAUUUACAAAACCAGGAAUUGGGCCAACCCUUGACCUAGUGAAUGAACUCACAUCAUCUAUCAAAGAUCACAGCUCAAACCUUCGUUUCUAAUUUCAUCUAGAUUAAGUAAUUAUAAUAAUGAUGAGAUCUUCUAGAUACAAAGAAACUCAAGCUCAGAGAGGUAAUAUUAAUUAUAGGUGGGGAGUUCCCGUCAUGGCGCAGCAGAAACAAAUCUGACUAGGAAUCAUGAGAUUGCGGGUUUGAUCCCUGGCCUUGCUCAGUGGGUUGAGGAUCCAGCAUUGCCAUGAGCUGUGGUGUAGGUCUCAGACGCGGCUCGGAUCUGGCAUUGCCGUGGCUCUGGUGUAGGCUGGUGGCGACAGCUCUAAUUCGACCCCUAGCCUGGGAACUUCCAUGUGCUGAGGGUGUAGCCCUACAAAGACAAAAGACAAAAAUACACAUAUAUAUAUAUAGAGAGAGAGAGGUCAUUCAGCUUAAAAUAAAGGAGAAAAAAUUUGAAAGUAGGCAUCUUGAAUUAAAGCUUAAGAACCUAACUACUACCUGAUGCUCAAUGCAUGUAACUUGUGGAUAAUAAGAAAACAUGGAGGGUGAUCUGUAUUUCUUAAACUUACAAAACUAGAGAGGGAACACUCCUAGUGGCUACAUAUCCUGAAUUGGUCCCAUUCUGAUCUAACUGUGAGUGUGCUACUGGACACCCACCCACCACACUGGAGAAUAAGACCUUCUACAAACUGAAUUCUCCAACCAGCUAAUAGGCCAUUAAGUGCUCUCAGCUAUCACGGGGAAAAGGCCCUGGACUAGGGCAGCAAGAAUAAACAUGGUAGAUGAAUUCAAAUCAAAGGCAAAACCAGAAAGGAAUCUUCCCUAUUACCGCCACCUCCAGAAAGGCUUGCACCUGGAUUUCUCAGCUCAUCCCCCGCCACUCUCUAGCUCCACUGGGAGAACGAAUGAAAAACAGAUUUUCAACAUAAACGGAAACCAUGAUGUGAUGCUUCUAGCAUCUGUUGUUUGCGUGGCACAUUCCCAACUCACAAUAUCCUCAAAGUAGACUAUUAUUUUAUCCUCGUCUCACAAAUGAAGUAGAGGGGUCAUUAAGACUCAGUGAAUCUUCAAGCCACCCAAUAAGGAAAGGCUCAAUACCAACUCUUCUACAUCAGCCUCGAGGCCUCUUCCCUCCCAACCAGACUGUCUUCUGAUCUUCGAAAGUGACCUACAGAGUGACAGGGUAUUUUUUGGUUUUUUUUGCUUCUUAGGGCCACACCUGAGCCAUAUGGAAGUUUCAAGGCUAGGAGUCAAAUCUGAGCUACAGCUGCUGGCCUACAUCACAGCCACAGCAACAUGGGAUCUGAGCCGAGUCUUCAACCUACACCACGGCUCACCGCAAUGCCGGAUCCUUAACCCACUCAGCAAGGCAAGGAUUGAGCCCACAUCCUCAUGGGUACUAGCCAGAUUAGUUUCUGCUGUGCCACGACAGGAAAUUCCCAGAGUGACAGUUUGAAAGGCAAGCCACAAAUGUCGAACAGCACUGGACAAACAUAGACUUUUUUUUGUUCAACUGAGGACCCUGAAAAAGAAAAUCAGAAAAACCCAAAUCUUAAGUGAUCUUCUUCAUUAUGGUGAAUUUCAGGUAAUUUAUAAAAAUAGAAGGGAAAUCAGGGUUCCUGUCGUGCCUCAGCGGCUAACGAACCUGACCUGCAUCUAAGAGGAUCCCUGUCCUUGUUCAGUGGGUUAAGAACCCGGCGUUACCGUGAGCUGAGGUGUAGGUCGCAGAGGCGCCUCGGAUCCCACAGUGCUGUGGCCCUGGCAUAGGCUGGCAGCUGUAGCUCCGAUUAGACCCCUAGCCUGGGAACCUCCAUAUGCUGCAGGUGUGGCCCUAAAAAGAGAGAAAGACAAAAAUAAAAAUAAAAAAUAAAAAAACAGAAGGGAAAGCUUGGGAAAAUUUGCCCCAGAGGCCCAGAAGUUACAAGAUCUGCUCUCAACCCUUUCUACCCAGCAGCAGCUCUUUGUGGAGCCUUGGCUGCCUAGGUCAUGUCACACCCAAGCCAUUUCUUGAUUUGCUGGUCACAGUAGGAGGGGAGCUCCAGGCUCAGGCUCUGCUGCGUACUGUCCCGUCAUUGCACAAUGGCUGCUCUUUUCCUUUCGGCGCCAGCAGCUCCUCUCACUCCCAAACACAGGGCAAAGAAUGCAAAACAUCAAAGCCAGGUCUAAAUUUUGUCAACUAGAUUUGAUUAUUCUUUCAAACAUUGAGACAGACCUCUAGUCUCAACAAAAGUUGUCAGGAGCUGAGGCGAAUAGCUAAGGACAAAAAUUGCCCCCAUUUAUAAGAGAUAAAGUCAAAACUCUUAUCAUUUCUCCUUGAAGCAAAUGUGUGUGUUUACCAAUACACACAUACAUUAAUUUUUCCAGUUUCCUUGUUAAAGAAGAAAAUGUCUAAUUUACAUGUAGAGUCCACAAAUUAUAGCCAUACCACACAAAGAAGCAGAUGAAGAUCGUGAUUGAGAUUCCAAAAUUUCCGCCCGGAUUUCUCCAUCCUUAGAAUUAGCCACUGUAUAAAUCAAACUGACAUAUUAACAUCUGAUGUCGAAACCAAUAGGCCACAUCUGUGAAAAGUAUCAAAAACAUAAAGAACUGCAUCCUUCCCGUUCCUUUGAAAAAACGCCACCCCUUCCACUGUCCCUACCACCAUUUCCACCAUUGUACCUUAAAAUAUCCUGUCGAAGAAAAUGUGACUUUUCCUAUGCAUAUUGGUAUAAACAAUGGGCAAUUUUUCUUUCCACUUGGUUGUGUAGAAAACUAGGAAUUAACAUUAUUUUCCACAGUAGAUCUGAAUGAAACCUUGGCUGUUACUAGGAGACAGCUAUUACUGAAACACACAGGUGUAUAUUGCCGACCAGUAACCUAACAGAGAUGAAAAUCUCUCAUUUCUUAAGAGCAUUUCUGUUUCUGGUAACCUGGGGUAACACAUCUCAGAGUUGAAAGGCACAGACUACCAAGUUA
rnacentral:lncRNA from 1 species